GAAUGAAGAACGUAGCGAAAUGCGAUAAGUAGUGUGAAUUGCAGAAUUCAGUGAAUCAUCGAAUCUUUGAACGCACAUUGCGCCCCUUGGUAUCCCGAGGGGCAUGCCUGUUCGAGCGUCAUUUCACCACUCAAGCCUGGCUUGGUGUUGGGCGACGUCCCCUUUGGGGACGCGCCUCGAAACGCUCGGCGGCGUGGCACCGGCUUUAAGCGUAGCAGAAUCUUUCGCUUUGGAAGUAGGGGCCCCGUCUGCCGGAAGACCUACUCGCAAGGUUGACCUCGGAUCAGGCAGGGAUACCCGCUGAACUUAAGCAUAUCAAUAAGCGGAGGA
rnacentral:misc_RNA from 1 species